rnacentral:rRNA from 1 species
AACGGGUGAGAUGUAGCCUAGAGUGCCAUGCAUGUCUAAGUACAAGCUGUGUCUGACACAGCGAGACCGCGGACGGCUCAUUAAAUCAGUCGUGGUCCAUAUGGGCCAGUGUUGAUCCUACUUGGACAACUGUGGUAAUUCCAGAGCUAAUACAUGCAACUCUUAUCCUGAAGGAGCAGUAAUGCUCUCUGAUGGAUGCUUUUAUUAGACCAAACCGCUGGGUGCGUGGUGCUUCACUUCGGUGUUCUCCCGUUUGACUCGUGUGAUGGUGACUCUGAAUAACAUUUUUCUUGACAAGCGCAAGUACCCCUCUUAUGAGUUGGGACGGCGCUACCACUUUCGAGUGUCUGACUUAUCAGCUAUCAACCGUUCGUUAUGUGCGACCGAUGGCUUUGACGGGUAACGGGGAAUCAGAGUUCGAUUCCGGAGAGGCAGCCUGAGAGACGGCUACCACGUCCAAGGACGGCAGCAGGCACGCAAAUUACCCAAUCCCAGCACCUGGGGGAGGUAGUGACGAAAUCUAACGAUGCGGGCGCCCUUUCUGGGGCCCCGCAAUCGGAAUGGCCACUUUCUAAAAAACCUGUUGAGAACCUACUGAAGGGCAAGUCUGGUGCCAGCAGCCGCGGUAAUUCCAGCUUCAGUAGCAUCUAUUAAAGUUGCUGCGGUUAAAAGGCUCGCAGUUGAAUGUCAGUACCGAGCGCAGGUCAGGUGGACGCUGGGGCGUGGGAAUACAAGGCGUGCGCUUCUUUCCUUUCUCGUUCAUUGUGUGCUUCGCGGAGCCUCUGCCUCUUUUGCUGUGCCGCACCCUGCGUGGUGUUUGUGUGUGGUGAGGGGGUACGCUGCGUGUCGUUGCGCGUGACGGGGAGGGGGUUCGUGUGUCUCUCACAAGCCCCCGUCCGUGACAAGCCUCCUCGCUUGUGUACAUAUCUGGAAUCGUUACAUAUAAUGGAGUGAUGUGUUUGCGCGCGCUUGUGUGUGCGCUGCGUGUGGCGGCGCGUGUCUUCUUCUCAUCUUCGUCACUUCGCGUGUCGUCGCUCUGGGUGUUGUGCAUGCGUGUCUUGCUGUGCGUGGUGUGUGCAUGCAUCGCGUUGCGGCAUGUCGCAAGCUCCUUCGGUUUUAUAGUCACCUUGAGUAAAUCAGAGUGCUCAAAGCAGUCGUGAGGGCCUUGUGCCCUGUGAACAGUCUUGACGGACUGACUUGGUUUUGCAUGGCAUGUCGGAAGACGACGUCGUGUGCUGGCUCAGAGAUGUAAUCAGUGGUACAAGCCAGCCUCGACGUACUGAUUAAAAGGUUCGGUCGAGGGCAUUGGUAUUGCGGGGCGAGAGGUGAAAUUCUAUGACCCCCGCAAGACCUCCUGAAGCGAAAGCGUCUGCCAAGGACGUUCUCACUAAUCAUGAACGAAAGUUAGAGGAUCGAAGGCGAUCAGAUACCGCCCUAGUUCUAACCGUAAACGAUGCCAACCAUCAAUCCGCGCGUAGCACCCUUCUUAACGGGCUCGGCGGGCAGCUCCCCACUCACGGGAAACCAGAGUCUCUGGGUUCCGGGGGGAGUCUGGUUGCAAAGCUGAAACUUAAAGGAAUUGACGGAAAGGCACCACCAGGCGUGGAGCCUGCGGCUUAAUUUGACUCAACACGGGCCAUCUCACCAGGCCACUGCUAACUAGUCGGUUGGAUCUUGUGUUAUGUGAGUUGUGUGCCGGGAAUACCCGUAGUUGGUUGCGCGCUGUCGGGACGGCGGAGGUUUGUGUCGUGUGGGGUGUGUGGUUAUUCUGUCGGUGCACGUGUGUGUGGGGGGCUCACGCCUCUUGCAUGUGCGCGUCCGGUGGGUUUCUUGCGCGCUGCUGCCUUUGCAUCCUUCGUUUAGUUUCGCACGUGCUCCUUCUCUCGGGCCCCGGGCCACACACUCCAAGUCCGCCGCUUAUGCUAUAACUCUUCUUAGAGGGAUUCACGGUACUGAAGCCGUAAGAGACUGAGAGCAAUAACAGGUCUGUGAUGCCCUUAGAUGCUCUGGGCCGCACGCGCGCUACAAUGCCGGGCACAGCAGGUAGUUCUCCUGCUCCGACAGGAGCGGGUAACCCUCUGAAAGCCCUUUGAUUAUUUUGUCGUGUCUCGCUCGUGGGCUGCUGCUCGUGCGUACUACUCGUGCGUGCUUGUGGUGUGUUUGCGUUGUGAGAUGCGAACGGCGUGAUGGGGCCUGGGACUUGCAAUUUUUUCCCACAAACGAGGAAUGCCUAGUAGCGGCGGGUCACUGAGCCCACCGUGACUCAGUCCCUGCCCUUUGUACACACCGCCCGUCGCUACUACCGAUUGGGUGUACCAGUGAGAGCCUUGGACUGGCGUCCGUUGUUACUUUCGGGUAAGCGG